AGCAACCUUCCAAUUUCUCUUCGAAAAGCAAUGGAUGAUGUGGAGGAAUUUGAGCAAUACGACUCGGGUACUUUGGAGCCAUGUUCAUCUUCAACCCCAAAGUCUAAUGUAGAUGCUAUAAUUGAACUUUAAUGUUCAUUUGGCUCAUAUUGUUGGAUGAGAUUGGACAUUGGAUCUAAAGAGUUUAGUGAAGCCUUGGAUACCACCU